GGUCUCAAUAACACGUAUCUCAACAUGCCCAGGUGGACGUGGUAUAACCUCGGGAAACUGAGGAUAAACCGCGAUAGGCCACGAUUUCUGGAAUGGAUUAUGGUCUGAAAUCUACAUGGCCGCUGGAUUGGACUACGGCCGAUCAGGCUGUUGGUGAGGUAAUGGCCCACCAAACCUGUAACCGGUACGGGUCUUUGAGAGAAGGAGCCCGGAUAUGGGCACUGACACAAGGGCCCAUGCCCUAUGGGGCGCAACAGGCGCGAAACCUCUGCAAUAGGCGAAAGCUUGACAGGGUUACUCUGAGUGAUGAUCGCUAAGAUCAUCUUUUGGCACCUCUAAAAAUGGUGUAAAAUAAGGGGUGGGCAAGUCUGGUGUCACCCGCCGCGGUAAUACCAGCACCCCGAGUGGUCGACACGAUUAUUGGGCCUAAAGCAUCCGUACCCGGUUCUGCAAGUCUUCCGUUAAAUCCACCUGCUCAACAGAUGGUCUGCGGGGGAUACUACAAGUCUAAGACGCGAGAGAGGCAAGCGAUACUCAGUGUAUAGGGGUAAAAUCCUCUGAUCCACUGAAGACCACCAGUGGCGAACGUCGCUUGCCAGAACGCUCUCGACGGUGAGGGAUGAAAAGCUGGGGGAGCCAACCGGAUUAGAUACCCGGGUAGUCCCAGCUGUAAACCGAUGCAGACUCGGUGAUGGGUCGGCUUCGCGCCAACUCCAGUGCCGCAGGGAAGCCGUUAAGUCUGCCGCCUGGGGAGUACGGUCGCAAGACUGAAACUUAAAGGAAUUGGCGGGGGAGCACCACAAGGGGUGAAGCCUGCGGUUCAAUUGGAGUCAACGCCGGAAAUCUUACCGGGGGCGACAGCAGAGUGAAGGUCAAGCUGAAGACUUUACCAGACAAGCUGAGAGGAGGUGCAUGGCCGUCGCCAGCUCGUGCCGUGAGGUGUCCUGUUAAGUCAGGUAACGAGCAAGAUCCCUGCCUCUAGUUGCUACUGCUGAUCUCAGGAUCCGCAGAGCUAAUUAGAGGGACCGCCGCCGCUGAGGCGGAGGAAGGAGGGGGCUACGGCAGGUCAGUAUGCCCCGAAACCCUCGGGCCACACGCGGGCUGCAAUGGUAAGGACAACGGGCCCCGAUUCCGAAAGGAGGAGGCAAUCCCACAAACCUUGCCUCAGUUAUGAUUGAGGGCUGAAACUCGCCCUCAUGAAUCUGGAAUCCCUAGUAACCGCGUGUCA
rnacentral:rRNA from 1 species